rnacentral:hammerhead_ribozyme from 1 species
AUUCAGUUGACGAAUCCCAAACAGGAAGAAAUGCGCGUCCUGGAU